UGAGCCAUUGACCUUUUUGGAUAGUGCAGCAUUUUUCCUCUGUCCCUGCUGUAUUGGCUGGACCUCUGAGAACCCUGCUCUCCUUCAAUACCUGCUCUCCUUCCUCUUUAGCAUGCAUGAACAGCGGAGAGCUAUGAGAAAGUGGCGCAGGACGAGGGUUAUCGUAUCAGUUCUUAUGCAUUUCUCAAACUUCAGUCAACAUCAGAGCCGUAUUAUGUGGGAGUGUCAAAACAGACUCCGAGGCCUCGGACCCAGAAGAUGAGGAAAUAGCAUUUCAGAGAGGUUACCUGACUUGCUGAGAUUUACCCGAAUGUUGAAUGGCAGGGCUUGAGCUCAGCUUGAAAUCUGGCCCUCAUCCCCUGACUGUGAGCCACCUCAGCUUCAUGGGGUUAGAUUUGGAUGGGAGAACUACAGACCCUACACACAUAUUGCUGGUGGGUGACAGCUGGGGACGUCAUCCUUGUGUAUGGAAGAAGAGCUUGACAGACAUAGACAGACAGGCGAACGUACCCACAUGCCCACACACAUGGACUCUCAGUUCCUAAAACCUGGAUAAUUACGGAGUUUCAAAAAUAAUAUCUACUUCAGUGAUGGCCAUUGCUUCCAGUCAAUAUGGUGGCCACACCUUCUUAGCAACCCCUGCAGACGAACCUUGGUGCCCUAGGAGGAGCGUACCAGGAGCAAGUUACGAGGCCCUUCCCUGGAACGCAGACCAACAUGGCUACUGGCUUAAUGAGCCACACCCCUGCAGGCGCACAGAGCAACUGCCCUAGAAUCUACUGGAUCUGCAAGGCUCAUUCUUCUGGAUCUCAGAUGCCAUGGCUUGCUCUACCAAACCACUGUUACGGAAACAAAUAAAUAAUUUUCCUGAAAAGAACAACUCAUAGUCAUACAGAUUGAAAAGCAUAUCAUUUAUGGAUGCUGGCUCUCAGAAUGCAGCUGCCAUGUUGUGAGGAAGUUCAAGUCAACCCAGGUGGAGAGAGACCAUGUGGAGAGGUCAGCGAUGGAGUUUCAGCAGACAGCUCAGCUGAGGUCCUGGCUGACAACCCAUACCAUCUGCCAGCCAGGAGUGAAUAUGCUUCCAGAUGUGAAAUAAAUACAUAAUUAUUUAAAAAAAAUAUUCAGGGUAUGACGAGUGUCAGGU